rnacentral:tRNA from 12 species
GCCCGGAUGGUCUAGUGGUUAGUUUUCAUAUUAUUGCGCCACCAUAAUUUCCACGCUAACAAAAUAAAAAGGUAUGAUUCUCGCUUUGGGUGCGAGAGGUCGCGCGUUCGACUCGCGCUUCGGGCC